GACGAACGCUGGCGGCGUGCCUAAUACAUGCAAGUUGAGCGCUGAAGGUUGGUACUUGUACCGACUGGAUGAGCAGCGAACGGGUGAGUAACGCGUGGGGAAUCUGCCUUUGAGCGGGGGACAACAUUUGGAAACGAAUGCUAAUACCGCAUAAAAACUUUAAACACAAGUUUUAAGUUUGAAAGAUGCAAUUGCAUCACUCAAAGAUGAUCCCGCGUUGUAUUAGCUAGUUGGUGAGGUAAAGGCUCACCAAGGCGAUGAUACAUAGCCGACCUGAGAGGGGGAGCGGCCACAUUGGGACUGAGACACGGCCCAAACGCCUACGGGAGGCAGCAGUAGGGAAUCUUCGGAAAUGGACGAAAGUCUUACCGAGCAACGCCGGGGGAGGGAAGAAGGGUGUCGGAUCGUAAAACUCUGUUGGUAGAGAAGAACGUUGGUGAGAGUGGAAAGCUCAUCAAGUGACGGUAACUACCCAGAAAGGGACGGCUAACUACGUG
rnacentral:rRNA from 1 species